UGUACUAUCUGUAGAAACACCUCUGCCAGCAACCUGGUUGGGAGUCUACUUUCAUAUAGCUUCUCUGAUCAGUAAUCACCUGUCAAUCAUCCACACCUGAGAGCAACCUGGGUGGGAGUCUACUUUCAUAUAGCUUCUCUGAUCAGUAAUCACCUGUCAAUCAUCCACACCUGAGAGCAACAGGGUUGGGGUCAUUUUCAUUUUCAUUCAGUCAAUUUAAGAAAGUAACUAAAAGUCCAUUUCCACAAUGUUGCUCUCAGGCUGUUUAUCUGGCAGCUCAAUUCUGACAUUUAGCCCAAUGACGAAGGGGUACAACGAUGGAGGAAUUCAGAUAUUAUAUCAUAGUUUGAGCAUCAUCCACAGACUUUAAACCACGGCUGGGUUUCUGUAUAAGCACUUUGUGACAUUUGAUGGAGGAGGUUUGAUUUGACUGAAUGGAAUUGACCUCAACCCUGGCGAAAAUCACAGGAUCCUCCAAGAUCCUGGCCCUGCCUGCUGCUGCCACCUAGUGGGAGGAUGUAUUUAUCCAUGGCUUGAGAAGGGAGGUCUGGAUGGGACUUCAUGACAGCCAUGCAGAGGAAGUUUGGGAGUGGGUUGAUGGGACAUCUUACUACCCAGAGAGUUGACCACCUGGCUCUCUGUGCUAUUGAACAAGAUGAUUUGGUUACACUUUAUAACAACCCUCAUGAAUAGGCCAUUAUAAAUGCUCAGGAAUUGUAAUGGUUAUAAUGUUU